rnacentral:snoRNA from 1 species
AAUCUAUGCAUCGGACAUUUUCGAAUUAAAUCUUUAAAUUUUUCGCAAGCCUCAUAUAGCAUUUCCUCUUCUAAUUGUUGAAAAGAUGUGAUGUCAUUUAUAAGCU